AGACCCGAAACCCGGUGAUCUAGCCAUGGGCAGGUUGAAGGUUGGGUAACACUAACUGGAGGACCGAACCGACUAAUGUUGAAAAAUUAGCGGAUGACCUGUGGCUGGGGGUGAAAGGCCAAUCAAACCGGGAGAUAGCUGGUUCUCCCCGAAAGCUAUUUAGGUAGCGCCUCGUGAAUUCAUCUCCGGGGGUAGAGCACUGUUUCGGCUAGGGGGCCAUCCCGGCUUACCAACCCGAUGCAAACUGCGAAUACCGGAGAAUGUUAUCACGGGAGACACACGGCGGGUGCUAACGUCCGUCGUGAAGAGGGAAACAACCCAGACCGCCAGCUAAGGUCCCAAAGUCAUGGUUAAGUGGGAAACGAUGUGGGAAGGCCCAGACAGCCAGGAUGUUGGCUUAGAAGCAGCCAUCAUUUAAAGAAAGCGUAAUAGCUCACUGGUCGAGUCGGCCUGCGCGGAAGAUGUAACGGGGCUAAACCAUGCACCGAAGCUGCGGCAGCGACACUGUGUGUUGUUGGGUAGGGGAGCGUUCUGUAAGCCUGCGAAGGUGGCCUGUGAGGGUUGCUGGAGGUAUCAGAAGUGCGAAUGCUGACAUAAGUAACGAUAAAGCGGGUGAAAAGCCC
rnacentral:rRNA from 1 species